rnacentral:rRNA from 1 species
UACAGAGGGUGCGAGCGUUAAUCGGAUUUACUGGGCGUAAAGCGUGUGUAGGCGGUUUGUUAAGUCGGGUGUGAAAUUCCUGGGCUCAACCUGGGAAUUGCAUUCGAUACUGGCAAGCUAGAGUACGGUAGAGGGCGGCGGAAUUCCGGGUGUAGCGGUGAAAUGCGUAGAUAUCCGGAGGAACACCGAUGGCGAAGGCAACCGCCUGGGCCUGUACUGACGCUGAGACACGAAAGCGUGGGGAGCAAACAGG